AUGAACGCUGGCGGCGUGCCUAAUACAUGCAAGUCGAGCGAACAGACGAGGAGCUUGCUCCUCUGACGUUAGCGGCGGACGGGUGAGUAACACGUGGAUAACCUACCUAUAAGACUGGGAUAACUUCGGGAAACCGGAGCUAAUACCGGAUAAUAUAUUGAACCGCAUGGUUCAAUAGUGAAAGACGGUUUUGCUGUCACUUAUAGAUGGAUCCGCGCCGCAUUAGCUAGUUGGUAAGGUAACGGCUUACCAAGGCAACGAUGCGUAGCCGACCUGAGAGGGUGAUCGGCCACACUGGAACUGAGACACGGUCCAGACUCCUACGGGAGGCAGCAGUAGGGAAUCUUCCGCAAUGGGCGAAAGCCUGACGGAGCAACGCCGCGUGAGUGAUGAAGGUCUUCGGAUCGUAAAACGCUGUUAUUAGGGAAGAACAAAUGUGUAAGUAACUAUGCACGUCUUGACGGUACCUAAUCAGAAAACCACGGCUAACUACGU
rnacentral:rRNA from 1 species